GAUGAACGCUGGCGGCGUGCCUAAUACAUGCAAGUCGAGCGAACAGACGAGGAGCUUGCUCCUUUGACGUUAGCGGCGGACGGGUGAGUAACACGUGGGUAACCUACCUAUAAGACUGGGAUAACUUCGGGAAACCGGAGCUAAUACCGGAUAAUAUUUCGAACCGCAUGGUUCGAUAGUGAAAGAUGGCUUUGCUAUCACUUAUAGAUGGACCUGCGCCGUAUUAGCUAGUUGGUAAGGUAACGGCUUACCAAGGCAACGAUAGGUAGCCGACCUGAGAGGGGGAGAUGCAACACUGGAAUUGAGACAUGGUCAAGAAUCCUACGGGAGGGACCAGUAGGGAACCUCCCGGAAUGGGCGCAAGCCGGACGGAGCAACGAUGCGCGAGUGACGAAGGUAGCAGGACCGCAAAAGUGUGUUAUGAGGGAAGAAUAAACGUGUAAUUAACUGGGCAUGACUAGAAGGUACCCAAGAAGAAAGGCACGGGCAACUACGUG
rnacentral:rRNA from 1 species